GGAUGCAAGCGUUAUCCGGGAUCUAUUAGGUAUAAAGGGUGCGUAGGCGGACCUGUAAGUCAGCGGUGAAAUACUACGGCUUAACCGUAGAACUGCCGUUGAUACUGCGGGUCUUGAGUACAGUUGAGGUAGGCGGAAUGUGUGGUGUAGCGGUGAAAUGCUUAGAUAUCACACAGAACACCGAUUGCGAAGGCAGCUUACUAAGUUGUAACUGACGCUGAUGCACGAAAGCAUGGGGAGCAAACAGGAUUAGAUACCCUGGUAGUCCAUGCCGUAAACGAUGAUCACUCGCUGUACGUCCAUUAGGAUGUGUGGCUGAGCUAACGCAUUAAGUGAUCCACCUGGGGAGUACGGCGGCAACGCUGAAACUCAAAGGAAUUGACGGGGGCCCGCACAAGCGGAGGAACAUGUGGUUUAAUUCGAUGAUACGCGAGGAACCUUACCUGGGUUUGAAUGCAGGACGCAAGUCACGUGAAAGCGAGACCCUCCUUCGGGACGGACUGCAAGGUGCUGCAUGGUUGUCGUCAGCUCGUGCCGUGAGGUGUCGGGUUAAGUCCCAUAACGAGCGCAACCCUCAUCGUUAGUUACCAGCGGAUCAUGCCGGGGACUCUAACGAGACUGCCACCGUAAGGUGAGAGGAAGGUGGGGAUGACGUCAAAUCAGCACGGCCCUUAUAUCCAGGGCUACACACGUGUUACAAUGGCCAGUACACAGGGCAGCUACCUGGUGACAGGAUGCUAAUCUCAAAAACUGGUCUCAGUUCGGAUCGAAGUCUGCAACUCGACUUCGUGAAGUUGGAUUCGCUAGUAAUCGCGCAUCAGCAAUGGCGCGGUGAAUACGUUCCCGGGCCUUGUACACACCGCCCGUCAAGCCAUGGAAGCCGGGGGUACCUAAAGUCUGUAACCGCAAGGAGCGGCCUAGGGUAAAACUGGUGACUGGGGCUAAGUCGUAACAAGGUAAC
rnacentral:rRNA from 1 species